CGUGUGUCUUUGCGUGUGUCACCCACGGUGAGAGUUUUCUUCUCACUCUGAGUUCUGGCUCAGCUUCCAGAGUGGAAGGCAGAGUGUGAUAGGAUGCCUCGGUGUGCAUGGUUUAAGAGUCACUUGCAGAGAACUGGGUGUUUCUCGGCUUGCUGGAAUCACAGGACAAGAUCCCGGCACCUCGCUGGGUGUUGGGAGGCUGCAGAAACCCAGGCUUUCUCUCUGGACACAGUGACAAAGAGCUAGGCGUUUGUGACCUCAGGGGUUUGGGCUGACUGAAACUCUGGUGAUUGAUUCUUCCCUGAAAGAGUCCAAGGCUGGAACUGGAGUUGCUUGACGGCGAGAUCAAAGAUUGUGGCUACAAAAGGAGCGGUCAGUCCUGAGAGCAGUCGGUGGGCAGGAGAAAUGGAUUGCUUCCCCAAGCCAGAGGCAAGAGCUGGACGGUGGCCAGGUGUGAGUCAGUAGGAAGGAACGCUAGGCCAGGAGGCACUCCUCUCUGAGUACCGCCUGGGCAAAAGUGGAGCGCCAGUGGCGAGUCAUCUGCUGGCCAGAAAUGUACUGCUUGAGUUAAGAAACAGGACAACAUUAGCCAGACGACGGGGUGAGAGCAGAGAAGAGAAUGAGGAACUGCCAGAUCCAAGCCCAGACAAACAGCAUUUGGGCACCCGCCAUGACAGAAGGCCCACAUUUCAUGUUGCAAGCGCACCCGUCCCUCCAGAGUGUGUCCUCCUCCCUCUCAUUCUUCCCCUCCCCCUCCUAAGGGAGCCAUCCGGAGUGUGGGGAGGGGGCUGGGCUGCUGGAGGAGCAAGGGGCGAGGACGGUGAGGCAAACUGUGGAGACUGUGGAGGGCCUGGGCUGGAUGGGGGCUGGGACGGGGAGAAGUGGGAGAGACGGGACUGCGACGUACUUCUGUGAGUACCUAUAAGUACUUUGCGUAAGGUACGUUUUAUAUGAGCUCCUUUCUGUCAGUCCAAGUGAGACGAAGCUGGGUCGAGCAGACAGAGACAAGGAGGCCAGGAGGCGGGUUUAUGGCCCUGGUGGGGACUGUUUUCAACUCACCUCUCUCCAUGCACGGCCACUUCAUAACCUGCUCCAAUCGCCGGGGCAAACCUUCCUAUGCCAAGCUCAGCUCCCAGUGCCACGUGGCUCUGUCUUGCAGCGGCAGUUCCGUGCUGCUCUGCUCACCACACUCUGAGCUCUAGGUCGUUGGAGACGUUCUUCUCGUGGCCUGGUAGAAUACUGAUGUUUUCUCUCUCCGCUGUCGUUGCCUUCCAGAGUGUACAAUGUGGUCAGCGUCAGAGCCACGUCUUCCAGUGAUGACUCUUCAUGUUCAAAUCACUUCCCGCCUGGGUCAAAUAAGAGAAUGGAAAGAAUGUUAGUGUAUAAUAACGCCAUCCUUAACAAGUGGACUGAAGACGCAGGACGAGCCUGGCACUUGUUCGCCCUAAAACGGAAAUUGUCUGCGUGGCACACUGGGCAGGUGGGGACUGGAACCUGACUGCAGGGAUCUCUGGCACAGAUCUUCUAAGUACAGCACCUAAAAUGUACCUGAUUUUGAAGUUCUUGGUCCUGAUUGAUCCUUCUCCUCCGGCAAAGGACCGAAGACCGGGAGGGCUGCACUGAAGGGAUUCAACGUGUGACGGACGCGUAGGAAAGGACCUUGAAGGGGAGGAACGAGGCAGCACUUCCUCCUGGGAACACCGAGAGUGGAGCCCCAGUAUCUGGAACCUGAGUGACGGACGAACUUGUACAUUUUAUUAUAAAAAUCUCGGUGUGAAACCUGUCACUCUCAACACGGCCAGCACACAAGUGAGUGUGCCUCUUCAUCUCAGCUCUGGGCUCUCCACACAGUAGGCACUCAGAGUCCUUGUGCGCCAACUUUGCCUACAGAAAACAAUCCUUUCAGAAAAGUGACCCCUCUAGUGGCCAAACUACAUCAGCACAUUUUUCUCUACUCCAAUCAACUCAAAAGAGGAGCCACAGUUUGGCAAAUGCAAAAAGUAAGAAUUAAAUUUUGGUCUCUUAAUCUUCUUAUAUGAUAACAACACCAGUGCUUAUCUUUUGUAUGCCUUUGGAGUAAAGACAAAGGAAACGUGAAAAAGAAAUCAACUAGUACUCUUGCUUUGCUACAUUUUUGUGCACUGGUAACAGGGAAUAUAGCUUAAUGCUAUACUUUUCCUACUCGGAAUCUAGUAGAUUCUUGAUACAUUUACAGGAUUGCCUUGUUUAUGUUUGUCUUGAUGCCACAUAUUUCCACAGAAGCAUAUUUUCAUUCAUCUCUUCAUGUUAAUGGAGCUUAACAUUUGUUGAAAAAUUACUGUUAUUUGCUCAAAACAUUCUUAGCAUUUUUGCAUUACUUACAUGAUUUUGCAAGAUUUUUGUUUGUUUGCUUGUUUUUGUUUUGUUUUCUUCUUUUGGUACCGGGAUCGAACUCAGGACCUUGAGCUUUCGAAGCAGGUGGUGGAAUUGCUGAGCUAAAAUCCCCAACCCAGCUUACAUGAUUUUGGAGGAGAUAAAAUAAAUGACUCCAGUUUUCACACGUGCUACGUGUAACCCCUUUGGGAAUUGCUUUCCUAGUAGUUUCAUGAUGCAACAAUGAUUUAUGGGUCGGCUUUGAUCUCAAGUUGACGAGACACUAUAGGCUUUGGCUGUGGUAAGCUCCUAUUCAGAGGGACUUAGUUAUAUUCAAGAGGGCCUUUGAGAUGGGAAUGACUUGGGCUCACCUUAUUCAAAGCAUGUGUGAAUGGGGGUUCUUUUAUUUAAAGAGUCUCCUGUGGUCAUCCUGAUCGUGUGUAUGUGAAUUUAUUCAUUCGUCAAGUCUUCAGGGGACGUUAGCACAUGCUGGAGUUUAGAAACAAGGGCAGCGAAGGGGAGUGGGUGUGAAAGCAGUAAGUCGAGGUGGCUGCUGGAAUUUGAGUCAGAGGGUUACCUUAGCCGGGUGCUGUUAGGAGGCAGUGGAGGUGAUGCACAUGAGGCAUGCCUGUGAGAGGUCCUCCGGUCACCGGGGUGUGCUUGAGGCCAAUGGCUCAUUCUGGCUCACUCUCUGCCAUGACUUGCUGCCUUGCCACAGCCCCAAAACCACAGGGCCAGGCAGUCAUGAACUGAAAGUACCAAAACUGUAAGCUAAAUAAAACUUUUCUCUAUAUAAAUUGAUUUUCUCGGGUUCCAUACUUACAGGAAUGGACAGCUAGCUGAUGAAAUAGAGAUUGUCCCAAAAUCUUGUGGUAGCAGGGGCAUGAGUCAUCCACACAACACAAGGAGUUUUAGAAAGCUUCCGGAAGGAGAUAAUGCUUGGGCUGUGAAUUAAUAUGGAGAUGGACAUGAGAGAGGAAAGGAAAAAUUGCAAGUAAAAGGUAAUAGGAAAGUAGGGUAGAACGGGAUGUUUGGUAGGAAGUCCAGGCAUGACUGAUGUGAGACAUCCCAGCAAUUUAGACACACAGCGGAAGUGCUGAGAAAUGUAGAAAAAACGGCAGUCAAUCCAGUCCUGAAGUCAUGCCAUGUUAUUUUGUUAGAGUGGAAAGAGGUCAAGGAAUUUUAAGACGGGGAAAAGAUGCGGUUGAAUUUGCCUGAAAGAAGUGUGAAUUGGAGAAACAUAAGACUAGAAAAAGCAAGACCAACUCAGAGGCAACUUAAAUAACUCGCAUAAAGAUAGUGAAGGCCUUAGACAGAACAGCGGUCAGGACUAGAAGGGAGAGAGGGAUCUGGGAAAACAUUUAGAAGAUACAGUCAUCAGUUUGUGAGCUCAGAGAGGAAAGGAAUUAAGGAUGACUUUGCGGGCCCUAGACUGGGUGAUGAAUUAACCACAAUUGUUGAUGUUUGUCUGUUUGUUGUCCUACAGUUACUCUGGUUCUGAAGCUCAGAUCAGGAGGGUUAGGUGUGGAAUCACCAGGCAGACUCCAGGAAGGUUUCUGUUUUUAAUAGGCAGAGCAAUUGCUUAUAUAAUCAAGGAGCUAGGGGAGGGACACUGUAUGCUGGGCACAACAUGAUUGGUUGAUGCUCUCCUACUUCUACAUAAGGUGAUCUUCUGGGUGAGUGAUGGAGGCAGUGAAUAAAGUCUCAACACAUGAGAGUAAGCAUUCUCAAACUCCUGAGUAUCCCCUAGCCUGCUAGGAGAGGUGCGUGCGAUGCACUUGGCUCAGCCAUGCUUGAAUUUCUCUCACACACAAUGAUUCCAUUUACAAGUCCCAGGAAACCUAUGUAAAAGUACAAAUUCCUAAUGAUGAAUGUAUAUCUUGCAUACCUAAAAUGUACCAAAA